GCCGUGAGGUGUUGGGUUAAGUCCCGCAACGAGCGCAACCCUCGUCGUUAGUUACAAGUGUCUAAUGAGACUGCCGAGAUAAACUCGGAGGAAGGUGGGGAUGACGUCAAGUCAGCAUGACCUUUAUGCCUAGGGCUACACACACGCUACAAUGGGCAGGUACAAUGGGAUGCGAAGCCGCGAGGCGGAGCCAAUCCACAAAAUUGCCCUCAGUUCAGAUUGCAGGCUGCAACUCGCCUGCAUGAAGUCGGAGUUGCUAGUAAACGCGGGUCAGCUAUACCGCGUUGAAUACGUUCCCGGGCCUUGUACACACCGCCCGUCACGUCAUGGAAGCCGGUAACACCUGAAGCCGGUGGGCUAACCCGCAAGGGAGGCAGCCGUCGAAGGUGGGACUGGUGACUGGGACGAAGUCGUAACAAGGUAGCUGUACCGGAAGGUGCGGCUGGAUCACCUCCUUUCUAGGGAUACCGAGCAAGAGCUACGGCUGACUGCUCCAAUCCUAGGUCUUUCUUCAGCUUCGGCUGAAGUCAUCGCAGACCAUUUAUGUUUUCUACCACUCCUCAGUUGUUAAGGUACAUGGGCCUUUAGCUCAGUUGGUUAGAGCGCAGUCCUGAUAAGACUGAGGUCUCUGGUUCGAGCCCAGGAAGGCCCACUCGGAAUUUUAGAUUUGGGGAUUUUAGAUUUUCGAUUGUUCUACGGCCCAAUUUGAAAUCUAAGACUUGAAAUCUACAAUUCGACGGGGGGCCGUAGCUUAGCUGGGAGAGCGCCUCCUUUGCAAGGAGGAGGUCAGGGGUUCGAAUCCCCUCGGCUCCACUUUUGACGGAGAAUACGAAGGGCACUAUAAUCUCUACUGUAUGUUAAAUAUUCUGGCGGUUGCGCAAACAGAAUAGCUUUACCGGAAGGCGAAUUCUCAGGAGCGGCAUGCGGCCUGGCGAAAAGCCUGGCCGAUUUUUUUCGCUUCAGCCUCUGUGGGUUGCCGGUGGUCGCAAGAUCGCCGGCAACCUCUAGCAGCUGAAAGGCUUAAUGCGCUAGAAAUUGGCAGAUUGAAAGCGGAAAGCGGAGCGGCGCCUCGAAGACCGGUGCUGCGACAAAUUCCGGACUACAGUUGCCAAUGUCGAUCUGAUCUUUAAUAAUCGAAUAGUUGUGUGCAAGUCUUCACACCGAAUCGCGUUGUAUAUUAAGCUACUAAGGGCGCACGGUGGAUGCCUUGGCACGAAGAGCCGAAGAAGGGCGUAGUUGGCUGCGAUAAGCCGCGGGGAGCUGUCAGCAAGCGUUAUAUCCGCGGAUGC
rnacentral:sRNA from 1 species